GUUGUCCCCAUCGAUAACAUCAAGAACAAGAUGUUCAUAUGAAUCGGGUACUUCUACGUUAUACCUGCCAUUUCAACGCCCAGGCAAAUCACGAGCAGGUUAAGUUCAGAUGUGUCAAGCUGAAGACCUAAGCCCGGAAUUUUGUUAUUGACUUUUACCAGGAUGGCCUCAUCGGGCUCGUCACGUAGAAUCAGUUCGUUUGUGGCUAAGUCUAUGUUGAGCCCAAGACGUUCCCGGUAAAGGUUUCCAGGAAAGGAACACCAUCCCAACGUCCAUUGUCAAUGUACAGGGCUGCAGCACAGUAUGUUGGAGUGAUGGUGUUCAAGGUUGACCUUUUCAUUCCGAAUAUCUUCACCAUCCAGACUUAUUGGAGGUUCCAUGGCAAGUAAUGCAAUUGUCUGAAGUAUAUGACUGUGAACUAUGUCCCGGAUUAUCCCAUACCCAUCAGAAUACCUAGAAGGAGCAGGAGAUGUUUGAAAACAAAGUGAAGAAACCAGACUCAAGAAGAAAGCUCAUGGCAGCAAUUUAGAAACAUAAGAAAAGACAAUACCUGCACAUUGCAUUUGCUUCUCCUGAAACUUAGAGAGAAGAGACUUAGUCAACUGAUGAGAAGAGCGUGCAUCAAAACCGAAAGGUUUCUCAACUAUUAUACGAGUCCAGCCUUUUAUGGCCUGGGCACUCUCCGAAAGGGUGCAUGCCACAUCCAUGAGCGCUUCUUGCGGGACAGAGAGGUAAAAGAUCCUAUUUGCUUCUGAUCCGCCCUGAAGAAGAAAAGCUGUUAAGGUAUCGGUUAUCUUGCUUGUUUAUUAUGAUUGCUGGAGACAUCAAACACAAUCCCGUUUUAUGACAAUAUUUAAUCUAAAGUGCAUUUUAAACAUUCAGUGGCACCUCAAUCUGCUUCAUUCUCUCAUUAAGACGAAACAUCCCAUCCUUGUUGUCAUGACCUCCAUUUAUGUAAUGCUUGAAAAUGCAUACCUCGGGAAGGUAGCCGCUAUAAUACAAAGCAAAGAGUGCAGGAAAGAUCUUCCUUCUUGCAAGCUCACCAGUUGCUCCUAUAACAGCAAUGCAUAUACCAGUAGUUUCCUCUGCAGAAUCUGCAUAUAUAUAUUCUCCAACUCAGGAAGUCUUUUACAAGAUCAAAAUGGGCACAGAGGACUCAUCACCAACUCUACCUGGAGAUAACAGUGAAUCUCUUUGCUGAAUCUGAUCCUCACUGAGCAAUUCUUGCUCUGAAUGUGUUUUCAGAUUCAAGCUCUUGAUUAUCCAAAGCUUCAAGCCGCAAAACCUUCGGCAAAUAUUUGAGCCUCCUCCAUAGAGCACUAGACUGCCAUUUCUC